rnacentral:rRNA from 1 species
GAGUGUAUGAGAAUACUACUUGGAUAACCGUAGUAAUUCUAGAGCUAAUACAUGCAACGACGCCCGACCGUUUCACUACGGAAGGGCUGUAUUUAUUGGAUACCAAAACCAUCCUUCCCUCGGGAAGUUUUGUUUGAUGAUUCACAAUAACUGAUCGGAUCGCCACUGUGGUGGCGACAGGUCAUUCAACAUUCUGCCCUAUCAGCUUUCGAUGGUUGUGUAGUGGACAACCAUGGCCAUAACGGGUAACGGAGAAUCAGGGUUCGAUUCCGGGGAAGGAGCUUGAGAAUUGGCUACUACAUCUAAGGAAGGCAGCAGGCGCGCAAAUUACCCAAUCCCGAUUCGGGGAGGUAGUGACAAAAAAUAACAAUACCGGGCCUUUUUGGGCUUGGUAAUUGGAAUGAGGGAGAGUUAAACGGACCAUCGAGUAUCCAUUGGAGGGCAAGUCUGGUGCCAGCAGCUGCGGUAAUACCAGCUCCAAUAGCGUAUAUUAAAGUUGUUGCAGUUAAAAAGCUCGUAGUUGGACUUGUGUGCGCUGUCCGCGGGUGGCCUGCGCCCAAAAGGGCGUUUCGGUUCGGCCCCGGUGGCGCCUUGAAAUCUGCAGCUGGGGGGACGUUGGCCUUAACUGGUCGGCGACCGCACGCCGGCUGCUCGGUUACUGUGAGAAAAUUAGUGUGUUCAAGGCAGGCAUUGGGUGCAAUUGAAUACAUUAGCAUGGAAUAAUAAAAUAUGGCUCCUGCCGUAUUUUGUUGGUUUUGACUGGUGGGAGUAAUGCUUGAUAGGGACGGUUGGGGGUGCUAGUAUUGAGCGGCCAGAGGUGAAAUUCAUGGAUUCGCUCAAGACUAACUUAUGCGAAAGCAUUCACCAAGGACGUCCUCUUUAAUCAAGAACGAAAGUUGGGGGAUCGAAGACGAUCAGAUACCGUCGUAGUCUCAACCAUAAACUAUGUCGACUUGGGAUCGGCGGUAGUUUUUUCAUUAAGACACUGUCGGGACCACGGGAGAAAUCAAAGUGUCUGGACUCUGGGGGAAGUAUGGUCGCAAGGCUGAAACUUGAAGGAAUUGACGGAAGGGCACCACCAGGAGUGGAGCCUGCGGCUUAAUUUGACACAACACGGGGAAACUUACCAGGUCCAGAGAUGUAGAGGAUUGACAGAUUGAAGCUCUUUCUUGAUCACUUCGGUGGUGGUGCAUGGCCGUUCUUAGUUGGUGGAGUGAUUUGUCUGGUUAAUUCCGUUAAC